UAUAGAUGGAUCCGCGCUGCAUUAGCUAGUUGGUAAGGUAACGGCUUACCAAGGCAACGAUGCAUAGCCGACCUGAGAGGGUGAUCGGCCACACUGGAACUGAGACACGGUCCAGACUCCUACGGGAGGCAGCAGUAGGGAAUCUUCCGCAAUGGGCGAAAGCCUGACGGAGCAACGCCGCGUGAGUGAUGAAGGUCUUCGGAUCGUAAAACUCUGUUAUUAGGGAAGAACAUAUGUGUAAGUAACUGUGCACAUCUUGACGGUACCUAAUCAGAAAGCCACGGCUAACUACGUGCCAGCAGCCGCGGUAAUACGUAGGUGGCAAGCGUUAUCCGGAAUUAUUGGGCGUAAAGCGCGCGUAGGCGGUUUUUUAAGUCUGAUGUGAAAGCCCACGGCUCAACCGUGGAGGGUCAUUGGAAACUGGAAAACUUGAGUGCAGAAGAGGAAAGUGGAAUUCCAUGUGUAGCGGUGAAAUGCGCAGAGAUAUGGAGGAACACCAGUGGCGAAGGCGACUUUCUGGUCUGUAACUGACGCUGAUGUGCGAAAGCGUGGGGAUCAAACAGGAUUAGAUACCCUGGUAGUCCACGCCGUAAACGAUGAGUGCUAAGUGUUAGGGGGUUUCCGCCCCUUAGUGCUGCAGCUAACGCAUUAAGCACUCCGCCUGGGGAGUACGACCGCAAGGUUGAAACUCAAAGGAAUUGACGGGGACCCGCACAAGCGGUGGAGCAUGUGGUUUAAUUCGAAGCAACGCGAAGAACCUUACCAAAUCUUGACAUCCUUUGACAACUCUAGAGAUAGAGCUUUCCCCUUCGGGGGACAAAGUGACAGGUGGUGCAUGGUUGUCGUCAGCUCGUGUCGUGAGAUGUUGGGUUAAGUCCCGCAACGAGCGCAACCCUUAAGCUUAGUUGCCAUCAUUAAGUUGGGCACUCUAAGUUGACUGCCGGUGACAAACCGGAGGAAGGUGGGGAUGACGUCAAAUCAUCAUGCCCCUUAUGAUUUGGGCUACACACGUGCUACAAUGGACAAUACAAAGGGCAGCGAAACCGCGAGGUCAAGCAAAUCCCAUAAAGUUGUUCUCAGUUCGGAUUGUAGUCUGCAACUCGACUACAUGAAGCUGGAAUCGCUAGUAAUCGUAGAUCAGCAUGCUACGGUGAAUACGUUCCCGGGUCUUGUACACACCGCCCGUCACACCACGAGAGUUUGUAACACCCGAAGCCGGUGGAGUAACCUUUUAGGAGCUAGCCGUCGAAGGUGGGACAAAUGAUUGGGGUGAAGUCGUAACAAGGUAGCCGUAUCGGAAGGUGCGGCUGGAUCACCUCCUUU
rnacentral:rRNA from 1 species